rnacentral:rRNA from 1 species
AUACGGAGGGGGUUAGCGUUGUUCGGAAUUACUGGGCGUAAAGCGUACGUAGGCGGAUUAGUAAGUUAGGGGUGAAAUCCCGAGGCUCAACCUCGGAACUGCCUCUAAAACUGCUAGUCUUGAGUUCGAGAGAGGUGAGUGGAAUUCCUAGUGUAGAGGUGAGAUUCGUAGAUAUUAGGAGGAACACCAGUGGCGAAGGCGGCUCACUGGCCCAUUACUGACGCUGAGGUACGAAAGCGUGGGGAGCAAACAGGAUUAGAAACCCUAGUAGUCC